UGUGUCUCACCUGUGUCCACUUGUCUCACGUCUCCAGGUUCUGUGCUGCUUGUGUUUCAGAUUCACUCACCGUCGUUACUCUUCCUUUGUCGUUUGUCGGAGUUUUGGAUUUCCAGUUUGCUUCCCUGUCGACUGAGUCCAAGCCUCACGUGAACGACGACUCCACCAACCUGCAGAGGAGCACGUUGCUGCAGAGUUCACACCAGGACUUCCUGCUGUUCCCUCACCUGCUGCACCUCACACUGCGCCCGAGUUUCACUCCCAACGUCCAACCCGGAGCCUCAUCUCCCUCUCACCUUGAGUGAGUUCCAUGUAAAUACCGCAGGAGCAUCCGGCUGACCCUCUCGCUUCGUCGCUGUUGCUGCACCUUCGUUAACGAUGGCGGCUUCGCCUCCGAGAGUUUGUGGAGGAACUGGAUCACUGAGCUGAACCGGCGCAGCUGAGAGGAGGAAUUCACCAGGGACGGAGCUUCUCAAAUAUCACGCCGGCGUUUCUCUAACGGCUGCUGACCCUCGUCGAUGGAGAAAGUCAACGAAGGAGGACGUUAAACGAUCCACAUCGAAACUUCCCUCCACCUCCAGACGUGAACUCCAGAUCAUCUCCAGAAAUGAUCCCGAGGUGCCGUAUACGUGGUUUCUC